ensembl:misc_RNA Metazoa_SRP Metazoan signal recognition particle RNA
GCUGGGCAUGGUGGUGCGUGCCUGUAGUCCCAGCUACUCGGGAGGCUGAGGCAGGAGAAUUGCUUGAACCCAGGAGGUGGAGGUUGCGGUGAGCCAAGAUCAUGCCUUUGCACUCCAGUCUGGGUAACAACAGUGAAACUCUGUCUCAAAAAAAAUAAAUAAAUAUAAUAUAAUUUUUUUUUUUUUUUGGAGACAAAGUCUCGCUCUGUCACCCUGGCUGGAGCGCAAUGGCAUAAUCUUGGCUCACUGCAAACUCUGCCUCCUGGGUUCAAGCAAUUCCCCUGCCUCAG